rnacentral:rRNA from 1 species
UGAAUACGAGACGCUAAGGCGUCGAAGUAGUGUAUGUCAUACUUCCAAGAAAAGCUUGCACUGUCAUAGAUAAAAAACGCCUGUACCAUAACCGACACAGGUGGGUAGGUAGAGUAUACUAAGGGGCGCGAGAUAACUCUCUCUAAGGAACUCGGCAAAAUAACUCCGUAACUUCGGGAGAAGGAGUGCCUUAUUCGUAAGGUUGCAAUAACAAGAUCCAAGCAACUGUUUAUCAAAAACACAGGUCUCCGCUAAGUCGUAAGACGAUGUAUGGGGGCUGACGCCUGCCCAGUGCCAGAAGGUUAAAGAAGUUGGUUAGCAAUUGCGAAGCUGAUAACUGAAGCCCUGGUGAACGGCGGCCGUAACUAUAACGGUCCUAAGGUAGCGAAAUUCCUUGUCGGGUAAGUUCCGACCCGCACGAAAGGCGUAAUGAUUUGGAUACUGUCUCGGAGAGGGGCUCGGUGAAAUAGACUUGUCUGUGAAGAUGCGGACUACCUGCACCAGGACAGAAAGACCCUAUGAAGCUUUACUGUAACUUGAAAUUGAAAUUGGACUUUAUUCGCGCAGCAUAGGUGGGAGGCGUUGAUUAUAAUCUUGCGGGAUUAUUGGAGCCAUCAGUGAGAUACCACUCUUGUAAUGUUAGAUUUCUAACUUUGAAUCAUUAUCUGGUCAAAGAACAGUUUCAGGCGGGCAGUUUGACUGGGGCGGUCGCCUCCUAAACGGUAACGGAGGCGUACAAAGGUUUCCUCUGAACGGUUAGAAAUCGUAUCUAGAGUGUAAAGGCAUAAGGAAGCUUGACUGUGAGACCUACAAGUCGAGCAGGGACGAAAGUCGGUCUUAGUGAUCUGACGGUACUGAGUGGAAAGGCCGUCACUCAACGGAUAAAAGUUACUCUAAGGAUAACAGGCUGAUCUCCCCCAAGAGUUCACAUCGACGGGGAGGUUUGGCACCUCGAUGUCGGCUCAUCGCAUCCUGGGGCGGUAGUACGUCCCAAGGGUUGGGCUGUUCGCCCAUGAAAGCGGUACGCGAGCUGGGUUCAGAACGUCGUGAGACAGUUCGGUCCAUAUCCGGUGUAGGCGUUAGAAUAUUGAGAGGAGCCUUCUUUAGUACGAGAGGACCGAGAAGGACAUACCUCUGGUGUACCAGUUAUCGUGCCAACGGUAAACGCUGGGUAGCUAUGUAUGGAGUGGAUAACCGCUGAAAGCAUCUAAGUGGGAAGCCCACCUCAAGAUAAGUAUUCUC